GAUGAACGCUGGCGGCAUGCCUAACACAUGCAAGUCGAGCGGACGAACGGGGAGCUUGCCUGGAUGCAGCUACCGGCGGACGGGUGAGGCACACGAAGAUACCCUGCAUUUAAGAAUGAGGUAACUACGGGGAAGCGGAUACCACAUCCGUCCAUAUUGUGAACGGCAUGGUUCUUCAGAGCACGACGGUCUUGCUGAGCCUAAUAGAUGGUACCGAGCUGCAUUAGUUAGUUCGUACGGUAACGGCCUACCAAGGCGACGAUGCGUGGACGACCUGAGAGGAUGAUCGGCCACACUGGAACUGAGACACGGUCCAGACUCCUACGGGAGGCAGCAGUAGGGAAUCUUCCGCAAUGGGCGAAAGCCUGACCCAGCAACGCCGCGUGAGUGAUGAAGGUCUUCGGAUCGUAAAGCUCUGUAAGUAGGGAAGAAGGGCAGUAUAAGAAUCCGUGCACAUUUUGACGUUACCAACACAAAAAGCAACGGCUAACUUCGUG
rnacentral:rRNA from 1 species